UACGGAGGGUGCGAGCGUUGUCCGGAAUCAUUGGGCGUAAAGGGCGCGUAGGUGGCCCGGUCAGUUCGUGGUGAAAGCGCGGGGCUCAACCCUGCGUCGGCCAUGAAUACUGCCGCGGCUGGAGCACUGUAGAGGCAGGCGGAAUUCCGGGUGUAGCGGUGGAAUGCGUAGAGAUCCGGAAGAACACCGGUGGCGAAGGCGGUCGACUGGGCCAGAACUGACGCUGAGGCGCGACAGCGUGGGGAGCAAACAGG
rnacentral:rRNA from 1 species